rnacentral:rRNA from 1 species
CCUACGGGUGGCUGCAGUGAGGAAUAUUGGUCAAUGGGGGAAACCCUGAUGCAGCGACGCCGCGUGAGUGAAGAAGUAAUUCGUUAUGUAAAGCUCUAUCAGCAGGGAAGAAAAUGACGGUACCUGAGUAAGAAGCCCCGGUUAACUACGUACCAGCAGCCGCGGUAAUACGUAGGGGUCAAGCGUUAUCCGGAUUUACUGGGGGGAAAGGGAGGGUAGACGGGAGUGCAAGUCGGGAGUGAAAGGCGGGGGCUCAACCCCCGGACUGCUCUGGAAACUGUACGGCUGGAGUGCAGGAGAGGUAAGUGGAAUUCCUAGUGUAGCGGUGAAAUGCGUAGAUAUUAGGAGGAACACCAGUGGCGAAGGCGGCUUACUGGACUGUAACUGACGUUGAGGCUCGAAAGCGUGGGGAGCAAACAGGAUUAGAUACCCUGGUAGUC